rnacentral:sRNA from 2 species
CGGAUAGCCCCGUGUUGUUGUCUGACCCCCGACCCCGACGGCAAUGCGGGGCAAUCCCCUGGAAAGGGCCGCCGCUGGUGGGAGGGGACCCAGCGGCGGUCU